rnacentral:misc_RNA from 1 species
UAGAACAGAAAAUCACAAAAAUAUUUGAACAGCUCACCAAGUCCCGAAACUAAACAAAAUAAUAACCAUCUCAUACUGUCAUAAACAUAUCGAAAUCCAAAACAAGCAACAUCACCGACACAAAUUAACUAACAGUAACCAAAAAAUUCCCAAAAGCAAUAACAAUGACGAGCUCAGAUCAAAUGAUCCUUCCCUUCACAACACCGAAGCCACAAUCCAGUAAGCAACAGCCGCUGUUGCUGCCAAAGCUGCAGCACCCAACGGCUUCAUCCCGACUGCCGCCGCCGCAGCAUCCGCUUUCUGAUCCUCCACACCGGGUGCCGCCGCCGGCGCACCACCCGGUGUCGCCGUCGGCGGAGCCGGCGGCGACAGUGGCAUUGGCCCCGGAGCCUCCACUGGCGCCGGAGCCAACGGCGCCGGAGCCGGGACCGGUGACCCGAACGGUGCCGGUCCCGGCGCCGGCGACGGAGCUUUCCCGAAUAGCUCCUCAGGCAGUAACACGCUAUCAACAGUAAGCACACACACCGGAGUUGAAUCCAACACCAUGCUCGCCACCCGGGACGUGUCAACGCCGGUAUCUAGACUCACAUCAUCACCGUGCGAUGUCGCCGAGAUCUCAAACUUUCCAUUGCCGGUCGAGGCGAGGGUGCGGAUGCCGGUGCCAUGCGCGCCAGCGGCGGGAAGCGCAUCCUUCGGAGUGUAAGAGGCGAGAGCAUGGUAUUGGAGCAGGGUGACCAGAUCUGCACUGGUGAGCGUGGUCAGAUCUGGAACACCUGCAGCCUUGAAUGCCUCGUCGUUUGGUGCGAGCACGGUCAGCCCCUUGUCCAUCGCCGACUGGUACAUUUUCAGGACGCCGGAGGAUACCAGUAGACCAGCAAAUGUUUUGCAGCCGGCUUUUUCCAGAACAGCUGUAAGGUUGGUGGAGGAUGCGUCUGGCACGUCAAGAAGUCCGGGGAAGACAAUUGGCGCCGAUACCUCGAGUAUCGAGAUGUUGUAUGGGAAUUGCUUGACGGAUUUGGUGAAAUCGGCGUCAAGCUUGGCUCCAGACGCCGCGGGGCCGAAAGCGACACGGCCGCCACGGAGGUUGGUGAUGUUGACGAAGCCGGAGUUGCCGGGGACAUUGCCGGUGGUCUGGAGGAGGGUGGUGGUGAGUGUGGUGCCGGAGGGGAGGGAGUGGAUCUUGGGGGCGUCGAAGUAGUCGAGGAGGGUGAGGAGGCGGAGGGCGUUCUUGAUGCCGGCGAUGGUGUGGUUGGCGGUGAGGGUGGCCAUGGCGGCAUUGGGGAGGACGAGGCAGGUGAUGGUCUCGUGGGCAUUGAUCUCGUCGGCGACGUGCGUCUCGGUGAGAUAUUUGUUGUAAAGGCUGUAGUCGGGGAAGCCGUCGAGGAUGGCGGUGAUGUUCGACGCCUCCGAUGCUGGCGCUAGCGCCGCCAUCACGGUGGCGACGGCGAGGAGGAGGUGGGCGACGGCCAUGGGUGGGGAGCUGAGCGGAGUGGUGUGUGAGAGAGAGAG